AAAAAUUAAGAAACUGGAGGGUGGUUAUCAAAUUUUGCAUGAGUGCAAGUCUGUCAGUGUAUCUGUAUGUCUGUGUGUGUGAGAGUCUGUCAGUGUAUCUGUAUGUCUGUGUGUGUGAGAGUCUGUCAGUGUAUCUGUAUGUCUGUGUGUGUGAGAGUCUGUCAGUGUCUGUGUGGUUCAGUGUGUCUGUAUGUGUGUAUGUCUGUCAGUGUUGCAGUAUGUCUGUGUGUGAGUCUGUCAGUGUCUGUGUGGUUCAG